UUGCCCUAAUUUUGGUGUCUCUUCAGAUUUCAAGCCUAGAAGCCGUUUUCUUCUCUUCAUCCCGAGUUCCUCCAUCGCUUGCAUCUCAAUCUCUACGGCUCUUUGAAAUUUUGCCCUAAUUUUGCUCUCUUCAGCAUUUCAAGCCUAUAAGCCAUUUUCUUCUCUACCUAUAAGUCGUUUUCUUCUCUGCCUAAAAGUCGUUUUCUUCUCUGCCUAGAAGCCGUUUUCUUCUGUGCCUAGAAGCCAUUUUCUUCUCUGCCUAGAAGCCGUUUUUUCUCUUCCUCCCAAGUUUCUCCAUCGCUUGCAUCUCAAUCUCUGUAGUUUUUUAGAAUUUUGCCCUAAUUUUGGUCUCUCUUCAACAUUUCAAGCCUAGAAGUCGUUUUCUUCUCUUCCUCCUAAGCACCUCCAUCACUUGCAUCUCAAUCUCUGCGGCUCUUUCAUUUUUUCUCGCAUUCGUCUCUCUCGAAAAUUUGAAUAAGGUAUGGAUUUCAGUUGGGUCUCUCUUGUUGCAUAUUUGAGAUUAGUAGAUUGCCUAAAUCUUGACCUAAAUUUUCUUAGUCCAAAUCUCUAAACUGUGUUCAACUUGAUCUCCGGAGUUCAAGUUACUAUUCCCAUUCAAUAAUUGACUUCUUGGUUUGCUACUAUUAUUCGGAUGCUGAGAAAAUAAUGAGAAAAAGAAGGAAAAUUUUUGAACCAUAAUUUUUUCUUUAAGCCUUGAGAAUAUAGAAAAUGCAUUUUACUUGCAACUCAUGAUUCAUGGCUUAAUCGAUCUGAUUUUAUUUUUGUAAUUUUUUUUAGAUUUUUUUUUUCAUGCUAUUUGUAUAUUUUAAAUUCAAAAAAAUAUUUGUGAAAAAUUGUCAUAUAUAAUUGAAAAUAAUUUAUAAUUGUUUAAUUGGUUGCUAGAAAACCAGGAGAGGAUAUCUGAUUGUGCCAAAAAGAAAUCAUUGUAGUUCUAAUACUAAAGGCUUAUUGAGGUUUAAUAGCUCUUUGAUCCUUUUAUGUCCUUGUAUAUACAGUGGAACGACUAACAUUUGAAAAGUUUUUUAACCACCUAUUCAUUUCUCAAAAGCAACCAGAUGAAGCGUUAAGGUAAAGGAGAAAAAAAAUUUUACUCUUCUCGAUCUUGGCAUAUGAUAUUUUCAUUCUUUACUCAUGUUAAAAUCCUUCAUGGCAUGCAAUAGUAUGAGAUCCUUCUAUGUCCUUGUAUAUGCAGUGGAACGACUAACAUUUGAAGAGUUUUUUAACCACCUAUUCAUUUCUCAAAAGCAACCAGAUGAAGCAUUAAGCUAUUGCUUCCAAGCCAAGUCAUUCACAAUGCAAAUCAGGGAGUGCCCCUCUAACAUCUGCAAAUAUGAAGACCAAAUCAAGUGCACCAAUGCCAAUUGCUGGUGCAGGAAUCACUAACACAUGUUAUACUGGAAGCUUGGAAAGUCAUAGCUCGGAACCUUCUGGGACUUCACAAGGAUCCAUGGAUAUAGGAGAUGCUUUAGAGCAACCAUCAACUCACUGCAUGACAAGGAUUAAGUCAUUGCAGCAAUGUGCAUCUGUCAUCACUGAAUUGGUAAAUGAGAAGGUUCAAAAAAUGGGAUUAGUUGGGAGGUUAAUUGAUGUUGCAAGUUUUAAGAAUUAUGAAGAAUUAUGCUAGGAAAUUGAAUGCAUGUUUGGAGUUGAAGGUGUGCUCAACGACGAGAAAGGCUCAGGUUGGAAAAUGGUGUAUGUGGAUUAUGAGAAUGAUGUACUUCUUGUUGGGGAUGAUCCCUGGAAGGCCAUACUCCAAUAUUCUGUGUUGGUGUUUUGGAUUCUCUGGCAGUGGAAUUGAAGGUGACAAAGGAUUUCUCCAAGUUAUAUGCUGGCAUUGCAAUACUUGGGUAUAUUGCUUCCGUUCCAGAAUCCGUCAACACCCAAGCCUUUUCUCAUCUUCUCACUUUCCUGGGCCAUAGAUAUCCCAAGAUCCGGAAGGCUUUAGCUGAACAAGUUUACCUUGUCCUCUUGCAAAAUGGAGAGCUUGUGACAGAGGAUAAGAUGGAGAAAGUGCUUGAAAUUAUUUCCGAAACUUGCUGGGAAGGUGAUAUAGAAGAAGCAAAACAACGACGAUUAGAGUUGCAUGAUAUGGCUGGUCUAGAAACAGGGCUACUUCCCAAAAUUGGGAAUGGAGCAUCAAACAGGGAUGGUGAGAAGAGGCCAACAGCCAGUGAUGAGAAUGCAUCAUACUCUUCCUUAGUUGGGUCAACUAGGUUUUGAUUGACUUGAAUUAAACCAUCCUUCAUGUUUGUUGUACAUUUUCGUCACUUCUCUUCACCUUAGACAUCUACCUCUCUAGCUUUUCCUGCAUGUCGCACAAUUUGCGUGACAUAAGUCUUGUUUGGAUAGACUUAUUGGAAGCGCAAGGCAUUUUUUUUUUUUGUGUUAUACAAAAUAUUUUUAUGUGCCCGUUUUAGCUUCUGCUGUUCAAUAGAAGUUGGUGAAAGUUUGGAAGGGAAAGUUAUAUCACUUGAAAAA